rnacentral:rRNA from 1 species
UACGUAGGGUGCGAGCGUUGUCCGGAAUUAUUGGGCGUAAAGAGCGUGUAGGCGGCUAGGUAGGUCCGUUGUGAAAACUCGAGGCUCAACCUCGAGACGCCGGUGGAAACCAUCUAGCUAGAGUCCGGAAGAGGAGAGUGGAAUUCCUGGUGUAGCGGUGAAAUGCGCAGAUAUCAGGAAGAACACCCGUGGCGAAGGCGGCUCUCUGGUACGUGACUGACGCUGAGACGCGAAAGCGUGGGGAGCAAACAGG